AACUUUGCGCAGUGGCAUUAUCAUAACCAAUGAGGUCCAACCGAGGCGUGAUUAUUGCUAGUUGAAAAAAAAUAAAAAUAAAGGAAUGGACUGUGGUCCUGAUUCAGAGAUGGAUUUAAGUGCCUUUGCAGCUGCAAUUUAGUAUGCA